GUCCACACAGUAAACGAUGAAUACUCGCGGUUGGUUCGUUAGAGUCAGCCGCCAAGCGAAAGCGUUAAGUAUUCCACCUGGGGAGUACGCCGGCAACUGUGAAACUCAAAGGAAUUGACGGGGGCCCGCACAAGCGGAGGAACAUGUGGUUUAAUUCGAUGAUACGCGAGGAACCUUACCCGGGCUUGAACUGCCAGUGACUCAUGCAGAGACGCAUGUUUCUUCGGACACUGGCGGAGGUGCUGCAUGGUUGUCGU
rnacentral:rRNA from 1 species